CCUACGGGAGGCAGCAGUGGGGAAUAUUGCACAAUGGGCGCAAGCCUGAUGCAGCCAUGCCGCGUGUGUGAAGAAGGCCUUCGGGUUGUAAAGCACUUUCAGCGGGGAGGAAGGCGUUAAGGUUAAUAACCUUGGCGAUUGACGUUACCCGCAGAAGAAGCACCGGCUAACUCCGUGCCAGCAGCCGCGGUAAUACGGAGGGUGCAAGCGUUAAUCGGAAUUACUGGGCGUAAAGCGCACGCAGGCGGUCUGUCAAGUCGGAUGUGAAAUCCCCGGGCUCAACCUGGGAACUGCAUUCGAAACUGGCAGGCUAGAGUCUUGUGGAGGGGGGUAGAAUUCCAGGUGUAGCGGUGAAAUGCGUAGAGAUCUGGAGGAAUACCGGUGGCGAAGGCGGCCCCCUGGACAAAGACUGACGCUCAGGUGCGAAAGCGUGGGGAGCAAACAGGAUUAGAUACCCUUGUAGUC
rnacentral:rRNA from 1 species